rnacentral:rRNA from 1 species
UGGGGAAUAUUGGACAAUGGGCGCAAGCCUGAUCCAGCCAUGCCGCGUGAGUGAUGAAGGCCCUAGGGUUGUAAAGCUCUUUCACCGGUGAAGAUAAUGACGGUAACCGGAGAAGAAGCCCCGGCUAACUUCGUGCCAGCAGCCGCGGUAAUACGAAGGGGGCUAGCGUUGUUCGGAUUUACUGGGCGUAAAGCGCACGUAGGCGGACUAUUAAGUCAGGGGUGAACUCCCGGGGCUCAACCCCGGAACUGCCUUUGAUACUGGUAGUCUUGAGUUCGAGAGAGGUGAGUGGAAUUCCGAGUGUAGAAGUGAAAUUCGUAGAUAUUCGGAGGAACACCAGUGGCGAAGGCGGCUCACUGGCUCGAUACUGACGCUGAGGUGCGAAAGCGUGGGGAGCAAACAGG